ensembl:misc_RNA
UUGACAGCUUUGGAAAUAGAUGGCUUCUUUUCCUCCGAAGACUAGAUACAGCCUGAUAAGCAGAAGUGUGAGACUUCCCCAACUGCUUCCCCACUGUGCCUUCACCCUGACAAAGUAAUGCUGGCUUCGUGAAAGAAAGGACAAGUCACCUUACCCAGGCAGUUCUCUGCUGACACUACU